UUGAACGCUGGCGGCAUGCCUUACACAUGCAAGUCGAACGGCAGCACGGGAGCAAUCCUGGUGGCGAGUGGGCGAACGGGUGAGUAAUAUAUCGGAACGUGCCCGGUCGUGGGGGAUAACGUAGCGAAAGCUACGCUAAUACCGCAUACGAUCUACGGAUGAAAGCGGGGGAUCGCAAGACCUCGCGCGAUUGGAGCGGCCGAUAUCAGAUUAGGUAGUUGGUGAGGUAAAGGCUCACCAAGCCGACGAUCUGUAGCUGGUCUGAGAGGACGACCAGCCACACUGGGACUGAGACACGGCCCAGACUCCUACGGGAGGCAGCAGUGGGAAUUUUGGACAAUGGGCGCAAGCCUGAUCCAGCAAUGCCGCGUGCAGGAUGAAGGCCUUCGGGUUGUAAACUGCUUUGUACGGAACGAAACGGUGAGCUCUAAUACAGUUUGCUAAUGACGGUACCGUAAGAAUAAGCACCGGCUAACUACGUG
rnacentral:rRNA from 1 species